rnacentral:lncRNA from 10 species
GAACCUGGGAGGCGGAGGUUGCAGUGAGCUGAGAUUGCGCCACUGCACUCCCACCUGGGCAACAGAACGAGCCGUUGUCUCAAAAAAAAAAAAAAAUGCUGGGUGCGAUAGCUCACGCCUGUAAUUCCAGCACUUUGGGAGGCCAAGGCAGGCAGAUCACCUGAGGUCAAGAGUUUGAGACCAGCCUGGUGAAACCUUGUCUCUACUGAAAAUACAAAAUUAGCUGGGCGUGGUGGCACAUGCCUGUAAUUCCAGCUACUUGGGAGGCUGAUGCAGGAGAAUCACUUGAACCCGGGAGGCGGAGGUUGCAGUGAGCUGAGAUCACACCAUUGCACUCCAGCCUGGGCAAAAAAAAGGAAACUCCGUCUCAAAAAAAAAAAAAAAAAAAAGCAUUGUUACUGCACAUUUCAGUUCUCUAGGUAUUUUCCAACCUAGGGAAUCAUAAAUUCCUCAAAUAGUAGGGACAGAGGAGAAUGUUUACAAUCAAACUAAUGAACCAGUCUUUUGGAUGGCUACUUUCAGGUGUCUCCUGCCUCCCGUUACCUUGUUUUCCAGGAAUGACUUUAGAGCUGAAUAUUUACAGACUGGAGUCUUUAACGCUCCAUAAUUAGUAAGCAGAGUAUGUCUCCUCCAAAUGGCAAUAUGCAAAGGAUAAAAAGUUAUCUACUUAAUACAACUCUAGAUGACAAGCCCUUUUUUGUCCGACUUGUGGAUUUAGUGGUUUGUCUGAGUCCUCUCCUAGUCCUGCUGACUUGACGAUAAAAAUCUCUUUUCAGUAGAGACUAGCUUUUCACACUUGUUUAAUUCUUCCUCUUUUGGUAACCAGUUUACCUAGACCUUUUUUUGUUUGUUUGUUUUGCAACUAAAUAUAACAUUAUUGUCCUGUGGAAACCGUUUUGUUUGUGCUGGAUCAAGGAGGUAUCUCUAGGUAUUGUGACCCAGACAGGACACAUGGCUCUCCCCCAUCUCUCUGCGUGCUUGCCUGCAGAAAACCAAAUUACAGACAUGGGCCCUGCAAUCAAGUUGCAUGGACCCUCUCUCCUCCUGACUGUGCAAGAGUUACUUAGCAUUUUUUGGCCUCAGUUUCUUCCUCUAUAAAAUAGGAGUAAAAAUAGUUUCUACCUGAUAAUACUGUUGUGAGAAUUAAAAGAAGUAAUCCCAGAAAAGGCUUAACGUGGUUCCUGGCACAUGGUGCACACUCAGUAGUUGUCAUUGAUCAUUUUUUUUUCCUAUUUACGUCUCUACAUGUUGGUGAUUUUUAAAAAUCAUUAUUUUAUUUUAUUUUUUUCAGUUCCAGGGUUCACGUGGAGGAUGUACAGGUUUGUUACAUAGGUAAACAUGUGCCACAGUGGUUUGCUGCUCCUAUCAACCCAUCACCUAGGUAUUAAGCCCUGCAUCCAUUAGCUCUUUUCCCUAAUGCUCUCCCCUGCUCCCUGCCAUCCCCCGAUUAUUUUUUAUUUUUAUUUAUGUAUUUAUUUACUUAUUUAUUUAUUUUGAGACGGAGUCUCCCUCUGUCACCUAGGCUGGAGUGCAAUGGCAUGAUCCCAGCUCACAGUAACGUCCGCCUCCUGGGUUCAAGAGAUUCUCUAGCCUCAGCCUCCCGAGUAGCGGGGAUUACAGGCACCCACCACCAUGCCCGGCUAAUUUUUUCGAACUGCUGGCCUCAAGUGAUCUGCCUGCCUCAGCCUCCCAAAGUGCUGGAAUUACAGGCAUGAGCCACCACAGCCUAUUAUUAUUUUAUAACCAUAAUCCCCAUCUUCACCAGACUAUGACUUUUUUAUGCAAAAAAGAAAUGUGCUCCUCUUUUUUCUUUUCCUUUUUUUUUUUUUUUUUUUGACAGAGUAUCACUCUGUCGCCAGGCUGGAGUGCAGUUGCGCGAUCUUGGCUCACUGCAACCUCCGCCUCCUGGGUUCAAGCGAUUCUCCUGCCUCAGCCUCCUGAGUAGCGUGCGCCACCACAACUAAUUUUUGUAUUUUUAGUAGAGACGGGGUUUCACCAUGUUGGCCAGGAUGGUCUUGAUCUCUUGACCUCGUGAACUACCCGCCUCAGCCCCGCACAGGGCUGGGAUUGCAGGCAUGAGCCACCGCGCCCGGUUGCUCCUCAUUUUUAUUAUACCAAACAUUUUAUGGAUUCCCCUCCAAUGGGUAAGGUUAAUUUUUUUUUCUACUUGAGUUUAUUUAUUAAUCCACCUAGCAUUUGUUGAGGCCCCAUCAUGUGCUAUGUACCAUAUUAGACACAGGGAACCCAAAAAUGAGUAAGACAUAAAUGCUUUCCUCCAGGUACUCGUGUUUACUGGAGAAGAUGAUGCAGAAACAGAUAACAAAUCUGGUAUUCGUUCAAAGAGGUCACUUCCCAGUAGCCCUAGUAUUAUCAAAAUAACUUCCAGCAGGGAUCAGCUGAAAUUGGAUGCCAAAGGAUUGCUUUUUGUUUUCUUGUGUGGGGAGGGGAGGGUGGAUGUUAAUAAUAGGUUAGAUAUAUCAGACAUUCCAUCUGCUGGAGUUCACAUGGUUUAAUAAGGUCAUUCAUACCUUACCGUGAGUGAAUUAUUUCUUAUCUGAGAUAAUGAUUUAUCUUAAUAACUUUUAAUUUAAUUUUUUUUUUCAGCUAUGGGAUCUCAUUCUGUCGCCCAGGCUGGAGUGCAGUGGUGCAUUCACAGUAUACUGCAGCCUCAAACUCCUGGGCUCAAGCGAUCCUCUUGCCUUAGCCUCCUAAGUCUCUGGGAUUACAGGCACGAGCCACUGCACCCAGCCUAUCUCAACUAUUUUGAGAGCGAAAACUUUGGUUUGAGGGUGAUUUGGUGGCCUAAUGCAUUUGAGACAGGGAAGAUCUGGUGGGUUGAGCACAGUGGCAGCUUCUGGAAAAUCAGAAGGCCCAUGAAGGACUGGACAUGAGUGGAAAAAAAUCAGAACACUCAACUUUCGGUCCGUUUGACAAUUAUGAUCAUUUACUGUCUUUGUAUUUCUCAUCUAUAAAAUAGGGAGAGACAGGAGAAGAGAUGCUGCUGGACUGGAGUGGUGGGCUCACAGGUUCAAAGCAUUAUGCCUGUGAGAGGAGGCUUCAAGAUCACCCAGUCCAACGUGCUCAUUUCACAAGUGAGCAACUUGCUACUUAUAUGAAAUAACCUGUUCAAGGACACACUGCUUGUUAUUUAAAGAACCAGCAAGUUACUAAACUUCCAGGACUGUGUUCAUCUCUAAGACUCUCACCAUGCCUUGGAACCAGAGCUCCAAGCUCCGCCUGCCCCAGAGAGAGAUGGAGAUGAUAAUUUCAACCAUGCAGGGCUUUCACAGGGAUUAGAGAUGAUGUAUAUAAAUUCCUGGCAGGAAUUCAGUAAAUGAAAACACUUAUUAUUUUACAUUUCUUUACCACUGAGGUAAGAGCACUGCUAGGUAGCUGGGUUGAUGCAUUUGGAUGUCAUUUUCUUCAAUUUUCAGUAUUUGCUCUUUGCUUCAGGUGUGCUUAAAGUGUGGUGAAUUAGCCAAAAGGUGAUCAUGAGGGAAGAAAGGAGUUUAUUCAUUCACUCAUUAAUUCAUUUGUUCAUUCAGCAAACAUGCAUGAUAGAACAUGCUGAUAGAACAAAACACCUGAGACCUGAUAAUUUAUAAACAACAGAAACUUAUUUUAUUUUAUUUUAUUUUAUUUAUUUAUUUUUUUGAGACGAGUCUCUCUCUCUCACCCAGGCUGGAGUGCAGCGGUGCGAUCUCGGCUCACUGCAAGCUCCGCCUCCCGG